ensembl:lncRNA
GUGGAGUUCUUUUGCCUGCAUUUUAAAGUCCCUUGCUAGGAGCACCGCUUCUGGAUGAGCAUUUUGUUGUUUGCUUAUGGCCUUAUACAGCUCGUUGAGUGCGGUCUUAAUGCCAGCGUCAGUUUGUGGUGGUAAAUAGAUGGCUACAAAAAAUAUAGAUCAAAGCUCUCUUGGUAGAUAGUGUGGUCUACAGCUUAUCAUGAGGUACUCUACCUCAGGCGAGCAAUCCCUCGAGACUACCUUCAUAAUAUUGCGCACCAGCUGUUAUUGACAAAUAGACACCCCCACCCCUUGUUUUACCGGACGUAGCUGCCUAUGCACGGAAAACCCAGCCAACUGUAUACUAUCCAUAUUGUCAUUCACCCAUGACUUGGUGAAACAUGAGAUAUUACAGUUUUUAAUGUCCCGUUGGUAGGAUAGUCUCGAGCGGAGCUCAUCCAGUUUAUUUUCCAUUGAUUGCAUGUUUGCUAAUAGAACAGAUGGUCGAGACGGGUUACCCAUGUGUUCUCACCAGGGGAAACCCCUGUAUUUCCUUAUUUUCUUCAUGCAAAUGAUGGGGAUUUGGGCCUUGUCUGGGAGCAACAUUAUAUCCUUUGCCUCAUUAAACUCAUUAAAUACUUUUUUUAAUCCAGUUCGAGGUGAGUUCUGAUCCAGUUCAAGGUGAGUUCUGUGCUGAUAUUCAGAAGCUCUUUUCGGUCAUAAGAGACAGUAGCAUCAACAUUAUGUACAAAAUAAGUUACAAACCAUGCAAAAAAACCCGCAUAAAAUAGUAUUUCUCCUGUCUUAUCCGGUGUCCUGUGUGAAUUUAAGUAUGCUCUCUCUAAUUCGCUCUCUCUUUUUCUCUUUCUUUCUUUCUUUCUUUCUUUCUUUCUUUCUUUCUUUCUUUCUUUCUUUCUUUCUUUCUUUCUUUCUUUCUUUCUUUCUUUCUUUCUCUCUGAGGACCUGAGCCCUAGGACCAUGCCUCAAGACUACCUGGCCUGAUGAUUCCUUGCUGUCCCCAGUCCACCUGGUUGUGUUGCUGCUCCAAGUUCAACUUUUCUGCCUGCGGCUAUGGAUCCCUGACCUGUUCACCAAACGUGCUACCUGUCCCAGACCUGCUGUUUUCAACUCUCUAGAGACAACAGAAGAGGUGCCCCCGCCUGUCCAGCACUGCCAGAGCCUUCCUCCUGUCCAGCGCUGCAAGAGUCUCCCGUCUGUCCUGAGCCGCCAGAGUCUCCCGUCUGUCCUGAGCCGCCAGAGUCUCCCAUCUGUCCUGAGCCGCCAGAGUCUCCUGUCUGUCCUGAGCCGCCAGAGUCUCCC